AACGCGAGUGCGCGCGCACACGUUUCUUUUACUGUCCUUGUGGGGACCUAAAAUGUAUUUCCAUUAAUUUCCCCUAACCCUUAAUCCUAAUUGUAAACCUACAUUUAUAGUCCUAGUCCUGAGAAAUGUCCCCACGAAGGAGAAUUUCUUGUUACACUAUCCUUACUAGCCCACACUCCCCAGUAGUGUUAGAAUAGUAAGCCCCCCACACCACAGUAGUGUUAGAAUAGUAAGACCCCCACACCACAGUAGUGUUAGAAUAGUAAGACCCCCACACCACAGUAGUGUUAGAAUAGUAAGACCCCCACACCACAGUAGUGUUAGAAUAGUAAGACCCCCACACCACAGUAGUGUUAGAAUAGUAAGACCCCCACACCACAGUAUAGUGUUAGAAUAGUAAGACCCCCACACCACAGUAGUGUGUUAGAAUAGUAAGACCCCCACACCACAGUAGUGUUGUAGAAUAGUAAGACCCCCACACCACAGUAGUGUGUUAGAAUAGUAAGACCCCCACACCACAGUAGUGUGUUAGAAUAGUAAGACCCCCACACCACAGUAGUGUGUUAGAAUAGUAAAACAAAAACACCACAGUAGUGUGUUAGAAUAGUAAAACAAAAACACCACAGUAGUG